UACGUAGGGUGCAAGCGUUGUCCGGAAUUAUUGGGCGUAAAGAGCUCGUAGGCGGUCUGUCGCGUCUGCUGUGAAAACUCGGGGCUUAACCCCGGGCCUGCAGUGGGUACGGGCAGACCAGAGUGCGGUAGGGGAGACUGGAAUUCCUGGUGUAGCGGUGAAAUGCGCAGAUAUCAGGAGGAACACCGGUGGCGAAGGCGGGUCUCUGGGCCGUAACUGACGCUGAGGAGCGAAAGCGUGGGGAGCGAACAGG
rnacentral:rRNA from 1 species